GUGACAUGUGCCUGUUGUCCCAACUACUUGAGAGGCUUAGGCAGGAAGAUCACUAGAGCCCAGGAGUUUAAAACUGCUGUGAGUUGUGAUCACCACUGCAUCUCUAGCCUGGGUGACACAUUGAAGGGGGACACAGUGGAUAGAGCAGAGUUUGUUUCUCCCCUAAUGUAUAAUAAAUUUAUAUAUUAAUCUCAAAGUGUCAAAUGGAUGAAAGUGGAACAUGCUCCAGUUGAAAAAACAAACAAAAAACAUAAGGCUCAAAACUGAAAGUAUUAAUAUAUACAAUUUUUUAUUUCUGGCUUACAGAUUGGUCAAGCUGUUUCUCAUAAAUCUACUUAGCUAACCAAGGGCAUGAUUUUUCAUGAUUCUUUUUUCUCUAUCUCCCUCUAUUAUUUGGUGUUUCUGAGUUAAUAAGUAUUGAUAGCUUUGGAUCCUAUUUAAUCUGUGCUUUUUUAUUAGUAAUAAUUUCAGCUAUUUAUAAAUAGUAGAAUUAAGAGAAAUUAGGAAAUGAUAUAUAUAAGAAAAUAUGAAGAAGGGAAGUAUAUUCUCAAAUAAAAAUACUUAGGAAUAUAGUUAGGUUUAAGAAGCAUUGUCCCAUUUGUGAAUCUCAAGUUAACUUUUAUCACUAGCAAAAUUGAACCAUAAUACAGAUUUACAUGUUUCUUUUGUUUGUAAACAAAUGUAUAUAAUCUGUAUGUUGAAAUUAUAGAGCAAAAUUAUUUCUGAAGCUUUUUGGAAAGUGAUACCAAAUAAAUUAAUUUUACUUUGAACAAACCUAAAUUUCAGAUUCCAGUAAUAAUUUAUUCAUGGAUUUUUUUCUUAUGGGACUGAUAAGAUCAUCAAUUACAGUCCUGUUUAUGACCAUUAAUAACAUAAUUAGUCUAUGAAAAGCCUUUUUACCAAUAAUUUUGGGAAUUUUUUUGUCUUUGUUUUGGGCUUAUUUUUAAGGCUUUUCCUUGAAUUUGAGUUUCCCCUGACUUUGAGGGUUUGUUGCCUAUGGGUUCAUUGAUUUGGUAGAUAGUUAUAAUAUUUAAAACUCAUGAUUAUGUUUAAUUUUCCCAAGCACUUUCAGAAAUGCAUUUCACAAAAGUGGAGUGUUUCUUUAACUAUUUUAAUUAGAUAUUAAAAAUAUCUAAUUUUAAAAAUAUCUAUAUUAGAUACAAAAAAAUAACAAAGCAAGAGUGCAUCAGAGAAGUUGAGAAACUUUAUCAUGGAAAAAUGUGAUCUAGAGAAGCUAGUGUAAUAAAACAAAUCCAUACUCUUUAAAUUUAAAGCCUAGUAUAAAAAUAGCGUUACUAACAAUGCUAAUUAAUUAGAUGGUUUUUAAGUAAUUGUGUUAAAUCUCAGUAGACAAGUUAUUUCACGUGGAAAAUAUUAUUAAUGUUUGAGCUUAAAUUAUAUUUCUAUCUUUGUUUUGAUUGGUAAUACUUCAAGUUAGUGUUCAGUUAAUGUAGUUUUUGCCCUGUUUCUUAUGAAUUGAUAAUAAGAUUGCCCUAAAAUAUUAGAGAUGUGAACUAAAGGGAUAGCGACUUGAAUUUGACCUAAUGAGAGGUAGGUGAAUCAGAAUGCCAGGUCUACCACUUAUAAGCUAUAAGAUAUUGAGUAAAUCACUUUCAACCUCGUUGAGCUUCACUUUUUAUGAUACUGGUUGAGCAUCUGUUAUGAGCCAUGAACCUGUUUGGUGCUGUGAUAUAACUUUGACAGUUAGGUCAAAGAGACUGGCAGUUAAACAGAAGAUGACAUAGAGAAUGGUAAUACCUGAGGUAUACAUAUGGGGAUGUGGGAGCAAAGAAGUGAGUCAGUUGAUGGGAAGAGGAUGUUGUGGGAAACUUUACUAGAAACUCUACUAGAGAGGGCAGUACUUCUUCGGGGUACUACCCAGUCUUAGUUGUCUUAGUUUUCUUAUCUUUGAGAGAUAAUUUACCCAUACUGAGGCCAGGUGCUGGUGGCUGAUGCCUGUAAUCCCAGCACUUUGGGAGGCCAAGGUGGGUGGAUCACCUGAGGUGAAGAGCUUGAGACCAGCCUGACCAACAUGGUGAAACACCAUCUCUGCAAAAUACAAAAAAU